rnacentral:rRNA from 1 species
GACGAACGCUGGCGGCGUGCUUAACACAUGCAAGUCGAACGGAAAGGCCCUGCUUUUGUGGGGUGCUCGAGUGGCGAACGGGUGAGUAACACGUGAGUAACCUGCCCUUGACUUUGGGAUAACUUCAGGAAACUGGGGCUAAUACCGGAUAGGAGCUCCUGCUGCAUGGUGGGGGUUGGAAAGUUUCGGCGGUUGGGGAUGGACUCGCGGCUUAUCAGCUUGUUGGUGGGGUAGUGGCUUACCAAGGCUUUGACGGGCAGCCGGCCUGAGAGGGUUACCGGCCACAUUGGGACUGAGAUACGGCCCAGACUCCUACGGGAGGCAGCAGUGGGGAAUAUUGCACAAUGGGCGGAAGCCUGAUGCAGCAACGCCGCGUGCGGGAUGACGGCCUUCGGGUUGUAAACCGCUUUCGCCUGUGACGAAGCGUGAGUGACGGUAAUGGGUAAAGAAGCACCGGCUAACUACGUG